AGGGAUAUAGCUCAGGUGGUUAGAGCAUUUGGUUCAUACCCGAAGGGUCAUAGGUUCGACUUCUAUUAUUCCUACCA
rnacentral:tRNA from 1 species